rnacentral:rRNA from 1 species
AUGGUCGCCCGGUCGAGGGCACGGGCCGCCAAGCUCUGCCCAUCCGGUCCUGGCGGCGCGGUGACAGUGCCCGCGGUCAGCAGCUCCGGCGUCAUAGGCUCCAACGAGUACCUUAUCCACCUCGGCAUCGGCACUCCGCGGCCGCAGCACGUGGCGCUGGAGGUGGACACCGGCAGCAACGUCAUCUGGACACAGUGCACGCCCUGCUUCAAGUGCUUCGACCAGCGUUUCCCCAAGUUCAACACCUCCGCCUCCGACACCGUCCACGGCGUCGCCUGCUCCGACCCACUCUGCCAAGGCCUUCAGCGGAGCGGCCGUGCGUGCUUCCUCGGCGGCUGUGCCUACCGACUCGCCUACGGCGACAAGUCCGUGUCAAUGGGCCAGCUCGCCAAAGACUCCUUCACCUUCCAGCAGGGCAAGGUGGUGCCGGACCUCGCCUUCGGAUGUGGCCAGUACACCACCGGCAACUUCUUGUCCAACGAGUCCGGCAUCGCCGGCUUCGCCCGCGGGCCAUUGUCGCUGCCUGGGCAGCUCCGUGUUGGCAGCUUCUCCUACUGCUUCACCAGCAUAUUCGAGUCGAGGAGCAGCCCCGUGUUCCUGGGCGCCCCGGACGACGACCUCACAGCGCACGCCACGGGGCCUGUCCUCUCCACUCCCUUCGUACGGGUUCCCGACUCCGAUGUCUACUACUACCUCUCUCUCAAAGGCAUCACCGUCAGCAAGGUGCGGCUGCCGGUCCCGGAGUCGGCGUUCACGCUCAAGACGGACGGCUCCGGCGGGACGAUCAUCGACUCCGGCACGGCUAUCACCACCUUCCCACGGGCCGUCUUCCGGAUCCUCCGUGAGGCGUUCGUGUCACAGGUGGCGCUGCCCCAUAUCCCCUACGACGAAGACGGCGGCCCUGGCGAGCUGCAGUGCUUCCAGACGGACUCGGUGCCGGACGCGAGCAAGGUGGCGGUGCCCAAGCUGAUCUUGCACCUGGAGGGUGGCGCGGACUGGGAACUGCCGCGGGAGAACUACAUGGCCAAGCACCCCAACUUGGACGACCAGCUGUGCGUGGUCAUAGAUUCGGCCGGCGACGACCUCCCGACCAUCAUCGGCAACUUCCAGCAACAGAACAUGCACGUCGUCUACGAUUUGGCGGGCAACAAGCUGCUCAUCGUGCCCGCGCAGUGUCACAACAUGUGA